rnacentral:lncRNA from 1 species
GAGAAAUACACGGAGGUGGAAACGCCGGAGUGGCUGGCGGCGGCUGGGCCAGCUGAAGGUGACCAUGACACACGAGGGAGAGAGAAGCCCGCGAGAGGCGGAGAAUUGUGGGGUCGUCCAGGAGGGUCGACAAGGCAAAGAACCUGAAGACCACCCAAAAGGGUACCUAAGUGGGGCCCUUUCAGGGACUUGGGGCGUAGGGUAGGUGGGUGAGCGCAAGGGACGAGAUGGGUGUGCGCAUGGCACGAGGUGGGUGGGAGCAUGAGACGAGGUGGGUGGGGCGGUGGGUGAGGUCCCCGCCCCCAGACGGGCUGGCGAGGAAGCAGGGAAGAAGUAACGUUGGGCUGGUGGGGCAACGGGUGGGGCGCACUGGAGCUGCGGGGUAAUAGGUGGAACAAACUGGGGACUACACUCGUGGGCGCACGUGCGGAAGAGGGACUGAGGAGGUUCCUGCGUGCUCCCCUCGAGCACCGCCGACAGCUUCACCCGCACCUCCUGCCUUGCCCACCACUGACUCCUACCGCUCCGCGCACUGCGCGCGCUCGACCCUCGUGCAGCCAGCUCCCGGCCGGGUCCGCGCGAGGGCCAGGCUGCCAACCUGCCCGCGGGCGGUUGGCGGUUGGGGAGGGCGUUGGGAGGAGGAGUCCCGC